rnacentral:rRNA from 1 species
UACGGAGGGUGCAAGACUGCUACUCGGAGUUACUGGUCCGUGAAGGCCGCGUAUGCGGAUAUUUUACUCGCGAGUGAAAUCCCUGGGUUUAACCUAAGAAUUGCUUUCAAAACUGAAUGCCUACAGUGGGGAACAGGAAAGUGUAAUUCUCGGUGUGGAGGUUAAGUACGUACAUAUCGAGAAGAACACUCGAUGACGAGAGCGCCUUUCUGGAUCCCUACUGAUGAUGAGGCGCGAGAGCGUGGGGAGCAAACACGAUUAGAUACCCCGGUAGUCCACACUGUAAACGAUGAGAACUAGAUGUUGGCCGGCUAUUCCUGGCCAGUAUCGUAGCUAACCCAUUAACUUCUCCCCCUGGGGAGUGCGGUCGCAAGACUAAUACUCAAAGGACUUGACGGGGUCCCGCACAAGCGGUGGAGCAUGUGGUGUAAUUCGAUGCAACGCGAAGAACCUUACCUACCCGGGAAAUCCCCGGAAUUUUCUAGAGAUAGAGAAGUGCUUUCGGGAACCUGGGGACAGGUGUUGCACGGCUGUCGUCACCUCGUGUCGUGAGAGGCUGGGCUACGUCUCGUAACGAGCGCAACCAUCAUCGUUUAGUCACCAGCUGUUACGGCCGGGAACUCUCAAGAAACCGCCCGCGAUAAUCAGGAGGAAGGCGAGGACGCCCUCAAGUCAUCAUGGUCCUUACCGGUAGGGCAACACACCUGCUACACUGGGGAGUACACAGGGUCCUCAAUCUCCAAAGCGGAGAUCAUCUCAAAAAGCUUCUCGUAGUCCGGACCGAAGUCUGCAACUUGACUUCAUGAGGCUGGAAUCCGCUAGUAAUCGCUGGACCAGGAAUUCCGGCGCGUGAAUUCGUUCUCGGGCCU